ACCUAUUAACUAGCUCAAACACUAACACCUUAACCCUUAAACUAAUAAACAAACCAUUUGCCAGGCCUAGUAUAUGUGAUAGAACUACACCAGAGACGCAAUAGUAACAGUACUGCAAAGGAAAGAUGAAAGACCGGCCCCACUUAAGUACAUAAAAGCAGCGAUGACCUCACGUACCUCUUGCAUCAUGGUUUAACAAGCCCCCCGCAGCUAAAAUGUUCUUCAACCUGCUACCCCGAAACUAGGCGAGCUACCCAAGAGCAACUAUUUGAGUGAACCCGUCUCUGUGACAAAAGAGUGGGAUGACUUUUGGGUAGAAGUGAAACGCCAAUCGAGCCUAGAGAUAGCUGGUUACUCACUAAAUGAAUAUAAGUUCAACUCUAAUGCCCCCAACUAUUAAACCCAACUACCAAUGGAGCCAAUUAGAAGCGAGACACUAAGGGUACAGCCUUAGUGUCACUGGGUACAACCAAAAAUAGAAGGCCUGUUCACCCCCCCACCCCCGUAGGCCUUCAAGCAGCCAACAAAACCUAACCGCGUUAAAGCGGACACAUACUUAAAUACUUUUAUUAUACUACAACCUCUACCACAAACUGAGUCACCCCAUACACAAAUGGAGGCGCCACUGCUAAAACUAGUAAUAAGAACUAAUUCUCUUUUCACACCUGUAUAUCUUACCAAAUUAGAUAUUUAACAACUUGAUAUAUACUAACAAGAUACUAUAAUUAAACCUAUUGUUGACCCGACACAGGGGUGAACUAAAGAUGUUUAAAACCCAUAAAAGGAACUCGGCUAACAUGCCCCACCUGUUUACCAAAAACAUCGCCUUUAGCCACACAAGUAUUAAAGGUCCUGCCUGCCCAGUGAACCUGUUUUAAACGGCCGCGGUAUCCUAACCGUGCAAAGGUAGCGUAGUCAUUUGUUCUUUAAUUGAGGACCUGUAUGAACGGCUACAUGAGGGCCUAACUGUCUCCUAUGGUCAACCAAUGAACCUGAUCUUCCAGUACAAAAGCUGGAAUAAACACAUAAGACGAGAAGACCCUGCGGAGCUUCAAACAACCCCUAAACCCCCUUUAAGCCCCACUGGCACACUAUACAAGCGUAAUUAGGCAAGUUUUAAGUUGGGGCGACUAUGGGGUAAAACAAAACCCCCCUGACACAAACAUUUGUACAAGGUAGACACACCAACAACAAAAAUAAUGACCCAGUCACACUGAGUAACGAACCAAGUUACCCCAGGGAUAACAGCGCUAUCCCCUUUAAGAGUCCUUAUCACCAAGGGGGUUUACGACCUCGAUGUUGGAUCAGGACACCCAGGUGGUGCAGCCGCUACCAAAGGUUCGUUUGUUCAACGAUUAAUAGUCCUACGUGAUCUGAGUUCAGACCGGAGAGAUCCAGGUCGGUUUCUAUCUAUGUUCUACUCCCUUAGUACGAAAGGACCAGGAAGAUGGCGCCCCUGCCACAAGCAUGCACCCUAAAACAGAUUGUAAACAACUAAAAUCUCAACCAUUCCCCGGCCUGAGACAAAGGCAAAACUU
rnacentral:rRNA from 1 species